rnacentral:rRNA from 1 species
AGCAGCCGCGGUAAUUCCAGCUCCAAUAGCGUAUAUUAAAGUUGUUGCAGUUAAAAAGCUCGUAGUUGAAUUUCGGGAUUUGUCAGUUGGUCGGGCUUCACUGUCCGUACUGACUUGAUGAGUUCCUACCUUCUGAAUAACCAGCAUGCUAUUAAGUUAGUGCGUUGGGGAAGCAGAUCUAUUACCUUGAAAAAUUAGAGUGCUUAAAGCGGGCUUAUGCUUGAAUAGAUUAGCAUGGAAUAAUAAAAUAGGACGGCAUGGUUCUAUUUUGUUGGUUUCUAGGAUCACCGUAAUGAUUAAUAGGGAUAGUUGGGGGCAUUAGUAUUCAAUUGUCAGAGGUGAAAUUCUUGGAUUUAUUGAAGACUAACUUCUGCGAAAGCAUUUGCCAAGGAUGUUUUCAUUAAUCAAGAACGAAAGUUAGGGGAUCGAAGACGAUCAGAUACCGUCGUAGUCUUAACCAUAAACUAUGCCGACUAGGAAUCGGACGAAGUUAAUUUUUUAAUGA